UGACGUAAGUGUUUAACGGCCGCGGUAUUUUAACCGCGCGAAGGUAGCGUAAUCACCUGUCUUUUAAAUGGAGACCUGUAUGAAUGGCAUAACGAAGGUUUAACUGUCUCCUCUCCCCAGUCAGUGAAAUUGAUCUGCCCGUGCAGAAGCGGGCCCAGCAACAUAAGACGAGAAGACCCUAUGGAGCUUUAGGCAUACACCCAAGCGCCCCAAGCCCCUCCAAUACGAUAUGCAAUGAGCGUGGAAAACGAGCGCCCCUGGGUGAGUGAGCCUUCGGUUGGGGCGACCAUGGAGGAAAAAAAAGCCUCCAAGAAGAAUAAGGAAGACCCUUAAGCCAAGAAAGACAUCUCUAAGCAACAGAAACUCUGACUACGUGUGACCCAGUAACUAACUGAUCAACGAACCAAGUUACCCUAGGGAUAACAGCGCAAUCCUUUCCCAGAGUCCAUAUCGACGAAAGGGCUUACGACCUCGAUGUUGGAUCAGGGCAUCCUAAUGGUGCAGCAGCUAUUAAGGGUUCGUUUGUUCAACGAUUAACAGCCCUACGUGA
rnacentral:rRNA from 1 species